UUACACAUCAAGGUGUACUAUAACGCGGAAUGGGAAUUGAGACUCUUGGAAAAUAGGAAAGAAAAAAACCAGCCUGCGUGAAAAAUUGCUGCUUUCCUUCUACAUCUGCAAAUGUUCCUCUUCAAGGGAGAUGCAAGGUAAAGAGCUCACAGCUCAACUCCUCUGGACAGCGAAAGGCAAGAAGGUAAAGGAGAGGUAUUUUUGGCUCCUGUUUCUGCUAACGAAGCACGCAAGGCAGCAGAAGAGCUGACCGCAGAGGAGACGAGGAACGGC